CACCUCCCCACAAGGCUACUGCUAAACUGCCCUUAGUAAAUACUCUCAUUUCUGUCACACACACACCCCCCACCCCCUCCCCGAGACUACCUUCAGUCUGUUGAAGGCAGAAAGACCACAAAUUCUGCUUAUGUCCAAGCUUGGAAGUCCUUUUCCCCUUUGCAAGUGACCUCGCACUGGAAACCACAGCUCCUGAGGGGGUAUUUGAGCUCUGUUCAACUUAACGGCUCCUCGGCACGCUCCUUACAAAGAGCAGCGCAGCUCAGGGCAGCACACAGCCGUGAUUGCACAGCACAGCCUGUGAGGGAGCACCUCCUAAACUCCUCCUCGGGGCAGAAAGAAAAGGAAUUCGGUGGGCCAGAUUCCCUCUGUGGCCAGAUCCAUUCACUACAGCUGCCUGGGGAGGCAUCUAGGUGAAGGGCUAUCGUCAAGAGGAAAAUCGAACUUAGAAGGGAGGAGGUCACCAUUUUUGCAGAGGUGCAGAAGGGAACAGAAGCUAUAUCCUGCCCCAUGCUACAACGUUCGGGUAUUCUAAUCGAGCAUCUGUGGCUGUCUCCCACACUAUCAAGCUCCUUAGAUACUGGACAUAUUUCCAUCAACCAAGAGACUGAGCAUAUCGUGCUCAAAAAGAGGUAACAUCCCUACAGUCUGAGGCUGCACUGUGUUUGUCCAAGUCUCACAGUGUUUCCAGACCUUGUACAAGCAAGGUGCAUGACAACACUGUCCUAAAUAGAAGGCUAUACUCCUGACACACUAUUAUUUGGUAUCUUAAUUCAGUGUUUAACCUCUAAUUUUUGACAGAGAUUUUCAUUCAACCUACUUCUGCAAUAGAAUGGCAAGCCACUAAUUGUAAUCUAUAGUUUUAAUUAUUAUGAGCAUUUAACUUAAGCUCGGUUACUCAAGAAAUAAGUAUUCUGCCUACUUCAAUAAGAUGGUAUGAAAUUUAUUCAAAUGUUUACUAAAUUAUGUGAAGUUGUCGUGGAAGAAUAUGUUCUGAGAGCUUGUCAGUACAGUCCCUCAGAAGAAGUGACACCAAAAUGUGUGUCAGAACAGACUCUUGAAGUCUGAUCCAAAAAGAAUUCACAGUUUACUCAGUACUCACCUUUAUUCUUUUGUUCCAGUACUCAACGGCAUGAAAAAGGGGAUUAAAAAGCAAAGAACCAAAACCAGCAUCUCUUUUCCAGAAGGGUGAAAAUAUGCCAAGCCCAGUUCUAACUACAGAAAUACUUUCCAGUAUUUUCUUUCUUUCCAGUUACUGCAGUUCUACAAAGAUGUUAUUUGGUGACAGAUGAAAAGGAAGGCAAUUUGGUGAACAAGAUACCUAUUCCAAAGAUCUCCUGAUUAAAAGAAAGGCUAAUAUCUUACUCCUCACACUCCUGACAUGACCGUAGGCUUGAAGAGUCUUGCAAUCUGUAUAUAAUUUGAAUGAAGGAAGUCCAGUUGAAAGACUACAUCUCUAAUUGUUAAUGAACGUUUCCAGCAACAGUUUCACAGCAACAAUAACAAAAAAAAAUUCUCUGCUUGGAAGAGGUUUUCUUCCAAAUGUGUUCUCUUAGCUUAAGUUGCUAUAACAGAGAUAGCACUAGGCAGAUAGCAACUGUAUGUGUUCUAUAAUAAGUAUACUUUUCAUAAGGCAUUUCAAGGCAAACAGAUUACUAACACAUUUUAAAAGUUAAACUAUGUAUAUCAAGGACCACACUAUUGCAGCAAGCUAUAUACAGUAAGGCACUGUCCAUGAAAUCAAAGAAAUAUUUCAUAUCACAUUAAUACACUGACAUUAUUGCCUGACCUAUAAAUACUGAUAAUAUUUUCAUUAUCAUCUACGUUUAACCUUCUUUAUCCUUUCAAAUGCCCUUAUGCCCAAUACGUGAAAACAUGUGAUAGAGUUCCACAUAGUAAGUCCAGAAAUCACAUCAAGGAAGUUCUUUAUUGGUUUCUUUCAAUGACUUUCAGAUUAAAUCUGCUCAUUUUAUAAAUGCAGUAAAGGUUUUUGUUAAGUGUCUAGUCUAAAAACACAUGGUUGAAGUUAGUAGGUUUUUUCAAUCCAGCAACAAAGGACCCUGCAACUAGAACAAAGUUAAUAACUGCUGAUGACAUACAUGCUAGAAGAAAAAAAAAACAAAAAAGCAAAAAACAAACAAACAAAAAAAAAACAGUGCCUCACUCCUUAGUAUCAGAAGAAGAAAAUCAUACUUUAGAACUGAAAGAAAAUUAUGGCGUACACAAAAAGAACAGGUUUGUAUAGAAAACUAUCAACCUUUCACCUACUCACCUUUCAGGCAUUUGCUUCAUCAAACUCCCAAGUAUCAGUGCAAGAAUGAGUAUAAUUACCAGAAUGCCAAGGUAAGAAACAGGCAGACUUUGUAAAUCUGUUCACAGUAGUGUUCCAGAUUGGUGCUAAAAUAAGAGUUAUGAGCUACGUUCAUUUUAAGUAAAUGUAAGAAUAUCUAUACUCAGCUCAGACCUUCUUUAGUCAUCAUCUAUUUGGGAAGAAUGGAAGGAAUUACUGCUUCCCUAGAAGAGAAUUCAUUUUUCUCAGUUACAGAAUGUGAAAGUGAACAAACUCUGGCCUUUCUCCAGUUCAAGUCAAGGAGAGUUGCAUGAGCUGUUCAGCCUCAUGACCACACUUACCUACACUGUAGGCUCCCAGAUUAAGAGCAGUUGACUGAGCCUUCAGAGCAAGAAUGGUUUCAAAAUAAAAUGCUCUACCCAACAGACGUCAGUGGCACUAACUUACCAUCUCACCUUGUAACAGAAGCAUACUUGCUUAAAGUUUGCUAGAAGAUGUGAUUUGUACCAGUCACACCAGGAGAGUAACAGAAACUUGUAGUGACCUUUCAGUCUCAUGCAGCUUGAAUCAUUUAUUAUGAGUGGAUAAGCGUUCUCCUGGCCUUCUAGAUCAGGGAAAGGAAGAAAGGCAAAAGAAACCUUGGAGUCCUCCAGAAUAUCAGCACAGAAUCAUAGAAUGGUUGGGGUUGGGUUGGAAGAGACCAAAAAGAUCAUCUAGUUCCAACCCCCUGCCACAGGCCUCCCACUAGACCAGGUUGCCCAAAUCCCCAUCCAACCUGGCUUUGAACAUUUCCAGGGAUGGGGUAUCCCUAAUUUCUCUGGGCAACCUGUUUCAGUACCUCCCCACCAACACAAUAAAGAAUUUCUUCCUUACAUCUAAUCUAAAUAUACCCGCUUUUACUUUAAAAUCUUUCUCUCCCAUCCUAUCACUGCAUGCCCUUGUAGAAAGUCUAUCUCUAUCUUUCUUAUAAGCCUUCUUUAAGAAAAGAUGCAGUAAGGUUUCCCUGGAGCCUUCUCUUCUCCAGGCUGAACAACCCCACCUCUCUCAGGCUUUCUUCAUAGGAGAGGCUUUCCAACCCCCUGAUCAUUUUUGUGGCCCUCCUCUGGACUCCCUCUAGCAGGCCCUUGUGUUUCUUGUGAUGGGGGUCUGAGAGCUGGAUGUGGUGGUACUGCAGGUGGGUUCUCAUGAGGCAUAGAGAAAGAGAAAGCAUCUCCAUCUAGGCUCCCAUUCAAGUAUUUCUGCCCUUGGUUAUUGACACUAAACAAGCUCAUGGACGCGCAGAAUAGUAACACGUUAUCAGCAGCUAAUAAAAUUAAACUAGGCUAGACGGUAUUGCUAUACUGAGCAAAAUAGAUUCCUCCCUCAAACAGCAAAGACACUAACACACAAAAUAGCGGUGACACAGACCUUCAGCUAGGAACACAGAUUGGCAGGCCUUGGCAGGAGUGUGUAAAUUCUGUGGUUUGGUCCUAGAGGCUGUGGCUUCAGCCCCAGCUCCCAAUUCCCUACCACAAACCACCAGAGACUGUUCAGAGUAAAUACAAGGCCAGCUUCUAUUCAGCAAGGUCCUGUCAUAUUCAAAUAUUAUCAUGCUAAGGGGCUUCUAGCUUAAAUAUCCUUCCAUAGGCAUGGCAACUGAACACAAGCAAUAGGUAGGAAUGAACUGGCUGGAGCAUGAGCUGGCUGAGACCCAUUCAGCUUGACAGCCAGGGAAAAUGUCUCAGCUGCCUCUCAUCUUCGCAUGAAGCCUGUCUUAUUGGACAGCUAUUUGCGAACACAGCUCAGCUGCUUUCUCUGAAUCAGACAGAGAGGUGUGCAGAUGAUGAUAUUGCCCAGAUUCCAGGAGCACCCUGGGGACCGACACCACGCUCCGUUGGUACUUCCCAUGAACUUAGCUGAAGGUCUGCAUACCAGGAAGGACUGUCUGCUUGCAGUGGUACUAGCAGAGUGGCAGGUGCUUUUGAACCACGCCAUGCUCUGUGGUGGGAUUUCCAACAUCCAAACGUCAUUAACUCAGCCUCUUCUUUCUGAACACUGGGAAUAAGGCAAACCCGCAUGGGCACGAGCGGUCAAAGCUGCCCAGCAUGUUGACACCGGAGCUAGGCUGAUGAAAGUCACACGUGGGGCAGCCCCUGCUUUGCAUUUUGGUGCAGAUGUACACAGAGAAAGGAGCGGAGGCAGAGCUGAGACGGUGGGAAACUUGGCGAGAAGGAGGGCGUCUGUUACUUGAAAUCACUCUACAGCACAUUACAAAUCUGUUAAAUCACUGCGGGUUACCCUGUAUUUCAGAGUAAAUUGGUAACUUUUCAGAGGGAGUGAAGAAACUACCACUCCACUUUUAAAUAAUGAAAAUGCUAAAAAACCUACACUUAACAGCUCUAAAACUGCAGCAAGUCACCCACCAACACCCACUCCUCUUGUCAGCAGGCUUUUUUCAGCUUUGCCUAUUAUUUGCGUGAAGCCAGAGAUGUUUAAUGUUUGCUGCCCUUAUCUGCUCAACUUUAAGGAGCCUCAAACGUCACAAUAUGUACCUGGGCCGCUGACCUGUUUCCCCACAGCACUUUGAUCUAAAUAAGUAACAAACACAGAGUUUCCAAAUCAUUUGGAUUCACUGGCUCUGAGCGCAUAGCUGUAAAAAAUCUGCUUUAAGAUUAACAUCCAAUUUUAUUCAUGCCUGAGGCUUCACCACAGCAUCUAUUUUUGUAAGAUUAACAGCAAGAUCCCAGUUCUCCAGAAAUGUAAAGAGUAACAGCCAGUUGUAAAAGAAAUCUGAUAUUUCCUAAUUUGUCCUGCUCGCAUCCAGGAAGGCAUAUUUUCCCAGACCUUCCAAUGAUGGUUGUAAUUUCUACUUGCAUAUUUGCACCCACGACACGCAGCGUGUGUAUUAAUCCUUCUGCCUCCCAUUUGCUGAAAUGCAUUUCUGAUGAAACUGUGAGUGCCAAAAAACCACUAGCGCAAAUCUCACAUGUGCAAAGUAUCCCCUGAAAGACAGCUUUUACUCUGGAGGAGUUAAGAAACAGUCAUCUUCCUGUACCUUGCACAGAAGCAUUUUGGAUCAUCUAACUUGAAAAUGCAAGUACAUAAAAGGAGCACUUAAUAUUCCAGCUAAUCCAUUUUAAAUUAAUAUACUUGCAAACAUUUCUUUUUAACAUGGGAAUCUGAGGACAAAUUGGGGGCCAUUUUUAACUUUAACAGCAGAAGAAAAGUUGCUUUAAAUAGUGCCUUUGGUAUCUGUCAAUUAGAGCUAUUGCACUGCUGUCAACUUGCGCUCCUUUAGUUCCAGCUUUGCUCCAUCCUACACAGAUCCGUACAAAUCAGUUGUCUCUUCCAAACAUGCACUAACCACUGGAAAGUGAAAUUAAUAAAGUGUGAGAAAAGCUGACUCAUAAAGCUGACACUCCUGUGCCCAACAACUCUGGGUUUCUCCCCUCCAGCUAGCUGUUUGAGAUAGACAGGCAAAGUGGUAAAAGAUUAUCAAAUUGCAACUGUCACUCCUGACAAAAUGCAUCUGAAUGCUGGAAGGAAUUUUAGGUUUUAAGCUAAAGCACCAUCCCAAAGAGUUCCUCAGAGCCUGUCAAUAUCUGUACCUUGGAUGGAAAGCUACCACUGAGCACAGUGCGUCCAACAUAUAGAACCUGCCACGAAAUGAAGUUCUUCGUAAGAAAGCUCAUCUCAGUCUUGGUUGGUAACAAUAACAAGGAGACAAGAUGAGACCAUCAGUCUCAAUUGUGAAGACAAUGUUUUCCUCCCAUAUUAUUCUAUCUGUCAUGUUCCCCUCAGGUUCCAAAGGAAUCCCUGUCUCAUACAUCAUUAUUUCCCACAAAGCUUGAAAGCCUUCAGGGGGGGUUUCUUCCUGCCCACUGUACCAGCCUUGAUGUCUGAGUACCUUCAGAACAGUGACAGAGGCUUCUACCAGCAAUAAAGGGGAACAUCUGCAUACCAAUUAAACUGCUGAGCUCUGAAGAGUUAAAAAAAAAAAAAAGAGGAGAAAAAAGCCUUGAAAGUAAAUCUGAGCCAAGUUCUAAUUAAUGCCCUAGGCCCCGAUUCACCACAGCACUUAGGCAUGUAGUUAACUUUAAGCACGUAUUAAGUUCCAUUGAAGUCAAAAGACAGCAUCGAAGAGGCAAACUACAUUAGCACAAUUUAAUACUCUUUGGGCUAAUUAAUCAGCCAUAAAAAUUAACUGUGAGAGUGGUAUUCCUUAUUUUCCUUGCUGUGAUACUUACAGAUAAAAAUGCUUGGAUGUGGUUGGAAUAAGCAAAAAGCAAUACCUUGUUUAGCUGUCUUGGGCUGCUAAGUCCUACGGCUGUAAAGACCAGUCCCAGAGAGCAGCUAAAGGAGCUGAGCUCUCUGCACAUUACAGUCUCGCAGUCUAACGUACAUACCAUCUACUUGGCAGAGGCACACAGGCACUAAAGACACAGCUCUUGUCUUGAGGAGCAGUAAUCUAAGAAAUGAAAAGAAUUGGCAACAGAUCAGCAAACCCAUCAGGCAACGGAUGGCACAUCAGAGACAGUUUUAUUUUUCUCUAUAAAGAAGUGUUUAUUCACUGCUGUGCAUCAAUGUUAUUUGUGAUGAGAGGUGGCAAGGAAGGGAAGCAAGCAGGGUUGGGUAAACCAGGGGAGCAGAAAGCACAUGCAAGUUUGGUGACUACUGGUGAGGUUACCAAGAGAGGCAGUGUCAGGCAGAGCUGUGGAGAGGGCAGCAGUGCUGGUAUCUAACAGGAAGGUAGACUGGAGUCUGGUCCAGACCUAAAUGUGAGCAAAGGCUUAACCCUCUUCAAUUUCAGCAGGUCGGAGCCCCGCAAAAAGGGAGCCCACAGCACCAUCUCCAAAGAGCUGAAUAGUUCCAGGUACAACCAACAAACCAACCGAUUUUUGAGCUCCUGCUGACUUCACAAAGGCAUGUGUACAACAAACCAUUCUGUAAACUGGGAUGCGAGGAGAAAAAGUAGUUGAUAAUCUUCUUGCUGGAAUUUCUGCAAAAACGAAAGCAAGGAAAGUUUCCUCAAGUAUCACCAAGGCUGCACAUGGACCUAUGAAAGCUAGGAAAGUGAGAGCAGGGGACAUCAACUCCUGACUGACAAUACUUCUUUAUCUCAUGCAUUAUGGAAACAAAAAGAAUAAAAACAAACCCCCAAAAUUAGAAUGCCACGAGCAUAAAACAAAGUACCAGCGUGACUUUGCAGAUUAAUUUUGAAUUUCCUUGCUUUCAUUGGUUUAAGAGCCCUAUUGUUACUCUCUUGUUUCUUUAAUUGCAGACACUAAAAAUUCUUUUAUCUUUCAAAGUCCUUAAAGUCUGUUAUAUAAAUACGUAAUUAAAGCCUCUUUCAACUGGGUAUAAUUUACUCUACAGUUUACAACAGCUGCACUAGAGCUAUUACAGUUUAUCAUUUAAAAGCCUAAUUAAGGGCUUCUUAAUUAGUGGAUCCUUCAGUCACUAGACUGUGACUAUGUAAAAGAUGCUUGGCAGCUAUCGCAUGUUACAAAUCUGCAUGAAAUGUUUGCCUGAAAACAGGGGAUGUGCAAGUCCAGAAACACAUUAACUGUCCCAGUAGGUCAGUGCAUCUCAAUGUGCAAACCUCCACAUUAAAGCUACAUUCUCAUCUCCAAGCGCACAGCUCAUUUGCAGACAUGCUUUUCCCUCGUGCACAUAUUGUGGAGAACCACUUCAGUGUCCAGUGCAGGGGUCAGGCUGGGAGACCGCCCAGAGCGGCUCAGUGCCUCCCACUGCACGUCGCACACCUUCCCACGAUUUGCUCUGCCACCCAGCUAUAACACCCAGGCCAAGCUGAAAGCUGAGUCUGUUCCCUGGGCUCCUCAUACAACCUCCUGAAUGCAGGACAGUCGAGCCUGGAAAGGACUACUCUCCAUCUGUUCCUGUGCCCUUUCCCACAGCAUCCCUAGAGCAGCUGCCAGCCUAGCUGGGCUGAGCUGCUAUGCCAGUCCUCUCAGAUGUGGUGAAUCUCAUGUUCAAACACACCCAAGAAGAUGGGGCUGUGCCCACUGGCUGCUCACGCUGGUUCUCACAUGGCUUGUCAAGCGCUUUCUUCAGUGAAUUCCAUUUCUUGCUGUUGCCAUGCUCUCCUCAGCAGCUGUGCCGCUGUGCCGCAUUCAGUGGGAAGCUCCUCCGCCGUGCCCAGAGUACUCACAUCGCUAG
ensembl:lncRNA